GACGAACGCUGGCGGCGUGCUUAACACAUGCAAGUCGAACGGAAAGGCCCUGCUUUUGUGGGGUGCUCGAGUGGCGAACGGGUGAGUAACACGUGAGUAACCUGCCCUUGACUUUGGGAUAACUUCAGGAAACUGGGGCUAAUACCGGAUAGGAGCUCCUGCUGCAUGGUGGGGGUUGGAAAGUUUCGGCGGUUGGGGAUGGACUCGCGGCUUAUCAGCUUGUUGGUGGGGUAGUGGCUUACCAAGGCUUUGACGGGUAGCCGGCCUGAGAGGGUGACCGGCCACAUGGGGACUGAGAUACGGCCCAGACUCCUACGGGAGGCAGCAGUGGGGAAUAUUGCACAAUGGGCGGAAGCCUGAUGCAGCAACGCCGCGUGCGGGAUGACGGCCUUCGGGUUGUAAACCGCCUUCGCCUGUGACGAAGCGUGAGUGACGGUAAUGGGUAAAGAAGCACCGGCUAACUACGUG
rnacentral:rRNA from 1 species